GAUGAACGCUGGCGGCGUGCCUAACACAUGCAAGUCGAACGGACAAAGAUGAAACCUAGUGAUUCUUUGUUAGUGGCGGACGGGUGAGUAACGCGUGAGAAACCUGCCUUUCAGUGGGGGACAACAGUUGGAAACGACUGCUAAUACCGCAUAACAUAUCGAGAGGGCAUCCUCUUGAUAUCAAAGCUUUAUGUGCUGAAAGAUGGUCUCGCGUCUGAUUAGCUAGUUGGUGAGGUAACGGCUCACCAAGGCGACGAUCAGUAGCCGGUCUGAGAGGAUGAACGGCCACAUUGGGACUGAGAUACGGCCCAGACUCCUACGGGAGGCAGCAGUGGGGAAUAUUGGGCAAUGGGGGAAACCCUGACCCAGCAACGCCGCGUGAAGGAAGAAGGCCUUCGGGUUGUAAACUUCUUUUACCAGGGACGAAGAACGUGACGGUACCUGGAGAAAAAGCAACGGCUAACUACGUG
rnacentral:rRNA from 1 species